GGGGGUAUAGCUCAGUGGCAGAGUGUUUGAUUGCAGAUCAAGUGGACCUUGGUUCAAAUCCAAGUGCCUCCU
rfam:Pelodiscus sinensis unplaced genomic scaffold scaffold3341, whole genome shotgun sequence.